GGGAAACGUAAAACAGGAUUCAUGUACAAGGGAUUAAUCAUACAUCACACUAUAGCAAAGACAAUAGGGAAAGCACAAAUCUAUCCAGUAUAUGAUAGUACAUAUCUAUACACAUUACAUUACCACUAAUCUUUGAAUUACAUCAUGUCCACUAUUCUAUUACAACCAUACAUUCACGCAUAUCUUCCCUCUGUACUCUUGCUGACUUUAACUUCCCAUAACUAUCUCAAAACCUGCAAAAC
rnacentral:lncRNA from 1 species